GGCUGUUUGGACCUGCAUUAUUAAAAGAUCUCAGUUUAUUUAAAGACUGUGAACCUGAAAGCAUUUCUGAUUGGACUUUUGAUGAAAACUGUUUAUUCUGUUGCUUGAGAAGAGAUAAAGUAAAGGUAACUAAGAAGCCUGUGAAACUUUUAUCUAGUGUAGUAUUUUAAAGUUUUCAUCUUUUAAAACAUUGUGUUACUUUGUUGGAGGAUUUGUAGGAAAAGGAAGGUAUGGUUUCAUACUUGGUUAUGAAAGAGUUUGAUAGUAAUCCUGGGUUUUGCAAUUUAAGUUAUUUCCAUCCUGUUGAUUAGCCUAUUAAGAAACCUAUAUCCUACCAUGCAUUUAUUGUUGUUAUUUUGUUUUUUUGCUUUUUUGUUUUUUUUUUUAUAUUGAGACGGAGUCUCUCUGUGAUGCCCAGGCUGGAGUGAAAUGGCACGAUCUCUGCUCACUGCAGCCGCCGCCUCCUGGG
rnacentral:sRNA from 1 species